UGGGGAAUUUUGGACAAUGGGCGAAAGCCUGAUCCAGCAAUGCCGCGUGUGUGAAGAAGGCCUUCGGGUUGUAAAGCACUUUUGUCCGGAAAGAAAUCCUUGGCUCUAAUACAGUCGGGGGAUGACGGUACCGGAAGAAUAAGCACCGGCUAACUACGUGCCAGCAGCCGCGGUAAUACGUAGGGUGCAAGCGUUAAUCGGAAUUACUGGGCGUAAAGCGUGCGCAGGCGGUUUGCUAAGACCGAUGUGAAAUCCCCGGGCUCAACCUGGGAACUGCAUUGGUGACUGGCAGGCUAGAGUAUGGCAGAGGGGGGUAGAAUUCCACGUGUAGCAGUGAAAUGCGUAGAGAUGUGGAGGAAUACCGAUGGCGAAGGCAGCCCCCUGGGCCAAUACUGACGCUCAUGCACGAAAAGCGUGGGGGAGCAAAACAGGAUUAGAUACCCUGGUAGUCCACGCCCUAAAACGAUGUCAACUAGUUGUUGGGGAUUCAUUUCCUUAGUAACGUAGCUAACGCGUGAAGUUGACCGCCUGGGGAAUACGGUCGCAAGAUUAAAACUCAAAUGAAUUGACGGGGUCAUAGCUGUUUCCU
rnacentral:rRNA from 1 species